CGCUGCACAACGAGGGGUGGUGGGCCGGCGUCGUCUCUAGGGCCCCGCAGGCGCCGGCGGUGGCCGGCGAGGAUCCGAGGCGGGUGUACCAGGUCGCGUUCCCCACGUCGCGGGAGGCGGACCUCCAGCCGCACUGCCAGUUCGUCGGUGGCCGCUGGUUCCCCGCUGCAAAGGCGCCUGCUCGGUGGAAUGGCCAGGAGGAGGACCAUUGCCAAGAGCUCGGCUUAUGGCUAAAAUCAUUAACAGGUCUUGACUCUUGAGAGUGAAAGUGCUUGAUCUUUCCGACAAUACACUAACUAGUGAGCUGUAUGUGGAAGCCUAAAAGAACAUCCAUAAGAAUACCUGCACAGAAAUCCGAAACGGAUGGUGAAUACAUGACCGAUUUCAUGAUUCCCGUACGUCCACCAAGGAAAACAAAGAAACUUCCAAAAGGCAUUCAUUGAUAAUCACAUCGGUUUUCUCAGCGUGAGUGAGAAGAACAGUGAAGUGGAGGACACAUCU